UACGGAGGGGGCUAGCGUUGUUCGGAAUUACUGGGCGUAAAGCGCACGUAGGCGGAUACUUAAGUUAGGGGUGAAAUCCCAGAGCUCAACUCUGGAACUGCCUUUAAUACUGGGUAUCUCGAGUCCGAGAGAGGUGAGUGGAAUUCCGAGUGUAGAGGUGAAAUUCGUAGAUAUUCGGAGGAACACCAGUGGCGAAGGCGGCUCACUGGCUCGGUACUGACGCUGAGGUGCGAAAGCGUGGGGAGCAAACAGG
rnacentral:rRNA from 1 species